GGACCAGUUCUACAAAGAAGCCAUUGAGCACUGUCGCAGCUACAACUCUCGGCUCUGUGCCGAGCGAAGCGUCCGCCUUCCCUUCCUGGAUUCUCAAACUGGGGUAGCUCAGAACAACUGCUACAUCUGGAUGGAGAAGAGGCACAGGGGACCAGGCCUGGCCCCAGGUCAGCUGUACACAUACCCAGCACGUUGCUGGCGCAAAAAGAGGCGUUUGCAUCCCCCUGAGGAUUCCAGGCUGAAGCUGCUGGAAAUUAAACCUGAAGUUGAUCUGCCUCUGAAAAAAGAUGGGUUCACCUCAGAAAGUACAACUCUGGAAGCCUUGCUGCGUGGAGAGGGAAUAGAGAAAAAAACAGACACUAAAGAGGAAGACACUAUACAAGAAAUCCAGAGGGUUUUAGAAAAUGAUGAAAAUGCAGAUGAAGUGAACGAGGAAGAAGACUUGGAAGAAGAUAUUCCAAAACGAAAGAACAGGCCUAGAGGACGGCCAAAGACCCCCACCUGGAAAAAAAUUUUCCAGAAAAAUGCUCGGGGAUCUGGAGGUGGCAGGAGACGGAAUGAUGCUGCCUCCCAGGAUGAUCAUGACAAGCCCUAUGUUUGUGACAUCUGUGGCAAGCGUUACAAGAACAGGCCUGGGCUGAGCUACCACUAUGCUCACACCCACCUUGCCAGCGAAGAGGGUGAUGAAGCCCGCGAGCAGGAGACCCGCUCUUCCCCUGUCCACCGAAAUGAGAACCACAAACCCCAGAAAGGACCAGAUGGGGUCAUCAUUCCCAAUAACUACUGUGACUUCUGCCUCGGAGGCUCCAAUAUGAACAAAAAAAGUGGCCGGCCUGAGGAACUUGUAUCAUGCUCAGACUGUGGGCGCUCUGGACACCCGACCUGCCUGCAAUUCACCACAAACAUGACUGAGGCUGUUAAAACCUAUCAGUGGCAAUGCAUUGAGUGCAAAUCCUGCAGCCUUUGUGGGACCUCAGAGAACGAUGACCAGCUGCUUUUCUGUGAUGACUGUGACCGUGGCUAUCACAUGUAUUGCUUGAAUCCACCAGUCUUUGAGCCUCCAGAAGGGAGCUGGAGUUGUCACUUGUGCCAGGAACUGCUCAGAGAGAGAGCAUCAGCUUUUGGCUACCAGGCCUGAGGAGCUCCAGCAGUCAAGAAACACCUUGCUCCUGGUGUUGCCAUACCAGCACACAAUUCCCAUCCAGAACACAAAGACACAAUCCACAUCCAAAUGAACGGACACUCAAAUACAGGAAGAGCAGAACUGAAAUUCCGUUUUGUGUCUUAGUCUGAACUGGAGACAUUGGAGCUCAGUCUUUUCAUAAUGUGCAGAUGAAUUGAAACCCUAACCUUGUCAUGGGUUCACCAGCUUCCGUAGCUUCCCACCAAAAUAAUCCAAUGCCACUUGGUGAAUAGCCUGGAGGAGUUUUGGGUGCUGCUGAUUGAAGCAUGCCAUUGCAAUGUUGGUCUUCAGGACCAUGAGGUUUUGUAUUGAUGCUUGUAAGAAAAACACAGCUGUCUCAGAUGAGCCCAAAUGUCCUAUUAGUCACAUGGCAGGUACAAGAGACAAGUCAAAAAACUGAAUGAGGGAAAAAAAUAAGGGUUCCUGCCUGAAGAAAACCCCACAUACCAUCUCAUUUCAGAGGAAGAACCUUUCUGUGACCAAUCCUGGGUGACAGGUAGGUGGGCUCAAAGGCUGGAAAGACCCAUCUCUGUGGUGUGUUUGUCACUGUGUCUUUGGUUAUGUACAUGUACCAGAACAGGAGAAAAUGCCUGUCUUUCUUUCAAAUUCCUUUUCAGCUAUGUACACUGCCUCCAGGUUGCCUGUUGCUAUACCCCGUGAGGCCUCACUGGAGUCCACACAAUCUUACUUGGUAUUUGUUUACUUUUGGCAGACACAGACUAAGGUUACAGGUUUGGGAACCAGUACAUAAUUGUAAGGACACCUUCCUGUGUUACUUUUUCCCCCUCUUCCUCUUUUGUAAAGUGUGAACCUUUCUUUGGAACUCUGAAGUGACUGUAUUGUUACAAUGUUUGUAUGUAGAGGUUUGUUUUAACAUGGCUUGUGUGGAGGGCCUUUGCUCUUCUUAUCUCACAUUCAGUUUUAUUAAGUGCUUGAUAGCUUUGCCAGCCUUCUGUGGGGGAGGAGAGGUGAUGAGGUGGCUUCAAAACUUGGCUUUUUUAAGGGAAAUUUGCCCAGCUUUACCCAGAGCAGUAUGAGAAUCUGAGGUGCUUCUGACUGUUCUUCAGUCAUCCUGAUCUGAUUGCUUCUUGGAGAAAGAGAUCAGCCUUCAAACCCUGAGAAAAAAAAUAUAUUGUUUAAUGCACUAAGCCAGCACUGACCAAGAAGGCCCAUCAGUUUGUCACGCACGGAAACCUGCAUGGUGUUUCACCCCGCCAGGAGGUGUCUGUUGAGCACAGAGUGAAUCGUGGCAACUCACACUGCUCUGCGGAUGCCAACGGAGCCACCGCAGCUUGCACCAGCCAAGGAUCAGCCCUUCCAUGUUUUGGUGGUUAGGAAACCUGUAAGCGAAAUCCUCUGAGGUUUGAGAGGAGAGGGAAUUGGGUGUUGGAAGC